AUUGAACGCUGGCGGCAGACCUAACACAUGCAAGUCGAACGGUAACAGGAAACAGCUUGCUGUUUCGCUGACGAGUGGCGGACGGGUGAGUAAUGUCUGGGAAACUGCCUGAUGGCGGGGGAUAACUACUGGAAACGGUAGCUAAUACCGCAUAACGUCGCAAGACCAAAGAGGGGGACCUUCGGGCCUCUUGCUAUCGGAUGUGCCCAGAUGGGAUUAGCUAGUAGGUGGGGUAACGGCUCACCUAGGCGACGAUCCCUAGCUGGUCUGAGAGGAUGACCAGCCACACUGGAACUGAGACACGGUCCAGACUCCUACGGGAGGCAGCAGGGGGGAAUAUUGCACAAUGGGCGCAAGCCUGAUGCAGCCAUGCCGCGUGUAUGAAGAAGGCCUUCGGGUUGUAAAGUACUUUCGGCGGGGAGGAAAGGAGUAAAGUUAAUACCUUUACUCAUUGACGUUACCCGCAGAAGAAGCACCGGCUAACUCCGUG
rnacentral:rRNA from 1 species